rnacentral:tRNA from 1 species
UGGGGAGUGGUGUAAAGGCAGCACAACGGACUUUGACUCCGUUAGUUCUGGUUCGAAUCCAGGCUCCCCAG